rnacentral:rRNA from 1 species
UACGUAGGGGGCAAGCGCUGUUCGGAAUUACUGGGCGUAAAGGGCGCGUAGGCGGCAGGAGAAGUCGGGAGUGAAAGCCCGGGGCUCAACCCCGGAACGUCUCUCGAAACUGACCAGCUAGAGUGCGGAAGAGGCAACUGGAAUUCCCAGUGUAGCGGUGAAAUGCGUAGAUAUUGGGAAGAACACCUGAGGCGAAGGCGGGUUGCUGGGCCGACACUGACGCUGAGGCGCGAAAGCCAGGGGAGCGAACGGG